CCCACCUUCUUUGCGUUGUUCUGGAGGACCUAGAGACAACUGCGGCAUACCUGAAAGAGGUUCAACGAUGACAUCCUUGAGGAGCUGGUGCACAAGUCCCACUACAGCACCUACAGGGUCAAGGUGCAGGUGCAGCAGGCCGAAACCACUGUCCAGUGCUAGUCUUAAAGUGAGAGCUGGGCCGGGGGAUUCUUCACACUCAAGAACCUGAGAUGACCUGACAGGGCCAGACUUCUGGGCUCCAAUAUGGGGAUGGCUUCCUUGGGGUCCUCCCAGUGCUCUUUGUGAAGUGUCCUACCAUCCCAUGCACAUGGGAAUCUGGACCUCCACUUGUACCACCAGCCACAUUGGAUGGGAAAAAGACACUCCUCAUAUAUUUGAAGGAAUAUUAGAGAAAAAAAGAUGUUGAACUUCACAGUAGACCACAUGAACACUUUUGUUUUGCUCUUUUGUUUUUACUACCUGCACCAAGUUUCUGGUGAAGCAGUCAUCUCCACUGUCCUCAAAGACCUCCAAAUCUUCCACAUCAUUACACUGGAUUAGGGGGUUUUGUACACAAAAACAUGCAGUAAUUAAAAUGUUGGAUCAUUCCCCUGUAACCUUUCUGUUCACUGACCAGGGCAAACCAUUGUAAUCUGGCAGGUUAGGAGAUGUGAGCUUACUCAUCUUCAUAAUAUCUCAUAAAGGAGGUAGUUUCUACAG